CCCUGUGUGGAUAGGACUUUUGUAUGGAAGUUUUGAUUUGUUUGGUUUCUGGGUAAACUUUGAUUCUGAGACUCUCCUGGGGGUGCCGGAGCGUGUGCACAGCCUCUACAAGGACUCUGCGCUGACUUCUUCGGGCUUUUUUCCAAGCACUUUAACUUCGAAAAUGAUCUCGACACUUUUUUGUCUACAUAGACCUCUUGAAAUAGCCAUUUCGGGGCGAGGAAAGGGUUUUGUUUUGUCUGUCCCCCUCACUACCUGUUCUUACAGAUCUAGCUCCUCAGAGUUGGAGGAAGCCUGACAGGGAAGGGUCCCCUCUACUCCCUCCACACAGGAUGCCACCCAAGAGACAGCCUCCCAUGCUGUGAGCAGAGCAAGCAGUGGCUCGGGAGGCAGCCUCCAGCCUCCUGCCGGCUGUGGCUCUGGCCAGGGUCUCCUGGAGGAGGCCCAGUGUGCCUGGGACAGGGCUGACCACCUGCCAUCAAGGUUUCCUCUCUUCCCCCAGGGCCUGAGCGGAGCAGGCAUGAGCUGGGCUCUGGUGUGGAGCAGGCAGACCCAGCCACGUGGCUCAAAGGUCCCUGCGUGGAGAGGUGGGACACCCAGGGCCACCUGGGUGUAGGAGCUCUGAUGGCCCCUCUGUAAACUCAGGAAGUGUCAGGUGAUUCCUAGGGAGAGGUUCCCAGUCCCAGUGGGCACAGGGGCAUUGCAGGCACUCUGCCCCCCAACCUCGAGGGCUAUGCGAAUCCUAGUGAACCAAAAUGCGACCCACUCGCUCAAGUGCAAAGCUCCCUGCUUUGAAAACAGGACAUGUUGAGAUGCAGCGCUGUAUGUUUUUAGCCUUUGUUACAAUUUUAGCAACAUUAAUAGAUGUUUAAGAGGGACUGUGCUCAUAGAUUGCAUCUGCUGUGUGCGUGUAUGGUGCACACGCGCGUUUAACCAAAGGCCAGAGAACUGAAUUCUGAUGUCAUCAGUUAUCUGUAAGUGAACUGGGGUAGAUGCUAUGAUUUUCCUAUUGCCAAAAGAAACGUGGGCCAAAGAGCUCUGAAAUUUCCAAAAACGGGCUAGAGGGAGAGUCUGGUUUCUGAGCCUGUACCCAAAUCAGAACCUAAUGUCCAGGUUCAUGCAAGGAACACAUGGGGUUUAGAACCAGCACUGAGGCCCAGCGCGGGAAUCACAGACACCGCUGACCCUCCUCCUCUUUCCUCCUCUGAGUUAAAACCAAACGGGCCUCUCACUCCUCCAAGCCCGGUAACGCCAUGGACUUCUGUUAUGAGGAAAGAAGGCUGGAGCUGGGAGAUUCAUUCGUUUUUUUCCUGGGCUGUUCUGCAUGGGUUACCUUAUCACUCAGGAGCACCUGGUAUUCCAGACCCCUGACGUGAGGAAUGCAGGUUCACACCAUAAAGAGUUUGUGAGAGGUUUCAGUCUAACUGGGGCUCCUUAGCCGGAACCAGGGCUGUAAGCUACAGGCCUGACCUUCCUAGCUCCCACUAUGUGUUGGCUUUUUUUUUUCUUUCUGAGAUGGAGUUUCACUCCAGUGAUA